rnacentral:tRNA from 1 species
UGAAUAAAAGUCAAAAAGAGACAAAUUAUUGUUAAUAAUUAAACUGAAUUUUUAUUCUUAUUCAA